rnacentral:rRNA from 1 species
GCCAGACUCCUAUGGGAGGCAGCAGUGGGGGAUAUUGCACAAUGGGGGGAACCCUGAUGCAGCGACGCCGCGUGGGUGAAGGAGUGCUUCGGCAUGUAAAGCCCUAUCGGCAGGGAAGAAGCAAGACGGUACCUGACUAAGAAGCCCCGGCUAACUACGUGCCAGCAGCCGCGGGAAUACGGAGGAUCCGAGCGUUAUCCGGAUUCAUUGGGUUUAAAGGGUGCGUAGGUUGUUUUAUAAGUUAGCGGUGAAAUACCGAUGCGCAACAUCGGGGCUGCCGCUAAGACUGUAGGACUAGAGAUCGGAUGCAGCAGGCGGAAUGUGUAGUGUAGCGGUGAAAUGCAUGGAUAUUACACAGAACACCGAUUGCGAAGGCAGCUUGCUAGGCCGGAUCUGACACUGAUGCACGAAAGCGUGGGGAUCGAACAGGAUUAGAUACCCUAGUACA